rnacentral:rRNA from 1 species
AUCGUAACUCCUACGGGAGGCAGCAGUGGGGAAUUUUGGACAAUGGGUGCAACCCUGAUCCAGCAAUGCCGCGUGAGUGAAGAAGGCCUUCGGGUUGUAAAGCUCUUUUGUCAGGCAAGAAACGGUAUUAGCUAAUAUCUAUUACUAAUGACGGUACCUGAAGAAUAAGCACCGGCUAACUUCGUGCCAGCAGCCGCGGUAAUACGUAGGGUGCAAGCGGUAAUCGGAAUUACUGGGCGUAAAGCGUGCGCAGGCGGUUGUGUAAGUCAGAUGUGAAAUCCCCGGGCUCAACCUGGGAAUUGCAUGUGAGACUGCACGGCUAGAGGGUGACAGAGGGGGGUAGAAUUCCACGUGUAGCACUGAAAUGCGUAGAUAUGUGGAGGAAUACCGAUGGCGAAGGCAGCCCCAUGGGAUAACACUGACGCUCAUGCACGAAAGCGUGGGGAGCAAACAGGAUUAGAUACCCCUGUAGUCAUAGAGC